UACGAAGGGGGCUAGCGUUGCUCGGAAUCACUGGGCGUAAAGCGCACGUAGGCGGCUUUCUAAGUCAGGGGUGAAAUCCUGGAGCUCAACUCCAGAACUGCCUUUGAUACUGGGAGUCUUGAGUUCGGGAGAGGUGAGUGGAACUGCGAGUGUAGAGGUGAAAUUCGUAGAUAUUCGCAAGAACACCAGUGGCGAAGGCGGCUCACUGGCCCGAUACUGACGCUGAGGUGCGAAAGCGUGGGGAGCAAACAGG
rnacentral:rRNA from 1 species